AGCACAGCCAGAUACAGUCAUGUACAACUAAGAGAAAGUAGGCCAUGCCUGCAUAAUGCAGGACAGUAUCUUGGAGAACAGGAGCUCUGCACAGGAAACAAGGUCCUAUAUGAGCUGUGGUCUUGAGUGGCUUUGGGGGCCCUACUCUCAGCACCACCUUUGAGUGAGACCUUCUGGGUAGGUGGAGGCCAGGGAACCAGGCCUUCUCACAAGCAGCACUGUAGCUCUAAAAUUUCCUUCACAGAAGUGUAUGUCUGGUGCCCUCUUUGUUUUUAAAUGAAGACUGAAAUGUAUUUAUUCCCCGUUGAAAUGUCUGAGGAUUUUAUCAUCUAAAUUGUGAUUUGUUUUAUCUGUUUUUAGUCCCUAUUUUAGCAUUGCUUUGUAUUCUGCAUUAUUGUAUUGCAUUGUUAUUUAUUGGUAGCUGCCUAGGGCUGAAUUGUAGGCAGAGGCAGGAUAUAAAUCAGUAUAUAAAUAACAAACAAACAACGGCCUACAUCCUUACUAAUGCUGCACAUGUGCAGUUAAAAGUGCCCCCCCCCUUCUGAAGCAUGUAUGCUUAUGCACAGAGACGAGGCAAUUUUUGCUGAUCCCCUACGUCCCCAAGAAGUGCUCUGUGUGGCCCGGAAAUGGGUCCCUCAGGACCACACAUAAGAACAGCCCUUCUGGAUCAGGUCCAAGGUCCAUCUAGUCCAGCAUCCUGUUUCACACAGUGGCCCACCAGAUGCCACAGGAAGCCUACAGGCAGGAGCUGAGUGCAAGCCCUCUCUCUUGCUGUUACUCCCCUGCAACUGGUACUCAGAGGCAUCCUGCCUUUGAGGCUAGAGGUGGCCUAUAGCCUUCCGACUAGUAGCCAUUGAUAGACCUCUCCUCCAUGAAGUUAUCCAAACCCUUCUUAAAGCCAUCCAGGUUGUUGGCUGUCACCACAUCUUGUGGCAGAAAAUUCCACAAGUUGAUUAUGUGUUGUGUGAAAAAGUACUUGUGUUUGUUGGACCUAAAUUUCUUGGCAGUCAAUUUCAUGGGAUGACCCCUGGUUCUAGUGUUAUGUGAGAGGAAGAACUUCUCUCUAUCCACUUUCUCCACACCAUGCAUGGUUUUAUAGACCUCUACCGUGUCUGGGACAUACGAAAAAUUUCCUGGGGAAGGAGGUUGUGAUAAUCAACAUACACAAACACACACACACCGGUGCUUCAGCAGCAGGGGCACUGGCCUUGCCCAUGUACCUUUUUUAGUUGCCUGCAUACAGCAUUAGUCAAAUGUCAGGCAGUAUUUACCAAAUAAACUCAGAAAACAAGAGUAAUGCUUAGAAUGAGAUUAAAAGCUUGUAACCCUACUGGCCUCAAGGCCACAAUCUCAAAUAAGAGUAUUAGGUGUGUCACCUCAGUUUAGAGCCCAGUGUGACCUACAAGGCACACACAGAAUGUCUGUUCAUGAGUGUCUCACAUUCACAUUCAUGCCAAGAAAUGGAUUUGCAUCUGUUGUACCCAUUGAAGUAAAUGGUGCAUAGUUUGUAGACUGAGCAGUUUCACAUGAUGUUGAGGCUCCCAGAUCUGCAUCUCAACACUGAACUGUGAGUGUUGUAAUUUUACCAGAAAAUGUAUUAGAAGAAAGAAAAUACAUUUCAUAAUUAAGCUCCAGUGAAAAUUAAUUGCUCUUAAAUUAUGGAUAAUGACUAUAACUAGUGAAUAAUGAAGUACAGAGUAACAACAACAACAACAAUGGCAAGAGAGGUUAUAUUUCAAAGACAAUGCCUAGGCAUAUUGUAAUUAUGACAAAUAUUUUAUGAUCAACAACAUUUCAUACAAAUUUGUAGCAUUCUACUUUAUCAGUCAAACGUUUUUGGAGUAAGAGAAUGCCCAGAAUAUUGCACAUGAUUAAGAAACCUGUUUUGGAUGAAGGAAAGAUGUAUUUUUAUGAUGAGAAACAUAUGAAAGUAGGCUGGUUUUGAUGAUCAAAAACUGGAUAGAACAAGUGUUGUAUCCAGCUUCAGGAGCUGGGUGCACUCCUGAUUUUUGAUUGUGUGCUAGCAAACAACUUGAAAGGAGGAGGAAGUGGUGAUCAUGUGUGAGAGAGAAACUGAGUAGGACAGCUCCAUCCUACCAGCUCUGAUAUUUCCUACAAACUGGUGGAAUAGCAAGAGCAGCAGAUUUCAUGUAAAAAGAGACCCUGGAGGGGGCAAAAUACCAGGACUGUGUCCCUGCCCAUCCCUGUAGCACUACACUACUGGCUCUAUCACAUAUGUCUGGUUGGCAUCCAAUCACAUUCUUACUUUAUCUGCUCAUUUCGUGUGUGUGUGUGUGUGUGUGUGUGUGUGUGUGUUUGCUGUGGCCCAUCAUAGAGAUUUUCAUUCAUUUCUUACAGGGUUGUAACCUUUCUACACCUACCACAACUUUGCAGUUGGUACCAGAGAUUGCUUUAUAACUGGCAGUUUGCAGAGCAUACAUGGGGUGUCCUAUAUUAUUAUCUUUUAGCUCAGCUGAGACAAACCUCCCUUUAAAGUAAGUAAAGUAUUAGCAUAAGGUCAGGUAUGCUAUUAAGCCUCAAGUAUUGUACACUGCCCAGAGCCUUUGGAUGGGGCGGUCCAUAAAUGUAAUAAAUAAUAAAUAAAUAAUAAGUGCUUGUUGAGUGUAGAAGCAGCUAGCUCCUAAUAUAGGAUACAGCUGCAUUCAUCUUCUUAUACUUCUAAGGCCAAGGUUUGACCAAGAUGUAGCCACUUGUGUGAACUUUAAUUUUGUACAUUAAAGGUAUUCAGAGCAGAUUCAGAGCUAUGUGUUUACUAUUCAGCUUAUUUACGUAUUUAAAAUAUUUACACCCCACCCCUCCAGUACACUACUGCUUGGGGCGGCUCACAUUAAUAAAAUAAAUACUAUGUGAAAUAAAAGACUAAUAAAGUUGAACGAGUUAAAAGACCAGGCUAAAACCACAUUUAAAAUUACAUUUUUAAAAAAGAGUUUCCAAAUGAAAAGUUAUUAAUAAAAAACUAAGAACUGAGAACUUACUGGGGUUAACAAGGUUGCAGAGGAAUUUAAAAAUACACAGCAGAUUUGUCAUAGCUCCUACCAGAGGGGGAGUUCACUGGAUGAAUCCUUGACUGAAAGGGAUUCACAGCAGGCUGCCACCAUCCACUUUAAUGUGACAAACCACUCUUUCCAUAUCAGAUUCCUAGAGAGUUAGUGGCAAAACCCUCCCUAGAAGGUGCUGACCUUUGCUAGGCCUCCAGAAGUGUGUGACUAAGGCAGACCCUAAAUGAAGAAUAGUACACUUCACCAACAAGGGUUUAUUAUUAGAUUAAAAGAAAAGCAAGAGUGUGUAAUAAGAACAAUUGUCUCUUCAUAAAGCAGAUUGUAAGAGAGAGUGUUUUCAUUAACCAGGCAACUCAGAUUCAAGCAGAAUACAAUAAAGGAAAUUAACUUCCCUCAUGUGUCUAACUGAAUUGGUCCUUAUCUUAGAACAUAAGAACAGCCCUGCUGGAUCAGGCCCAAGGCCCAUCUAGUUCAGCAUCCUGUUUCACACAGUGGCCCAUCUUCUUACAAGCAGGCAUCUUGCUGCUGCUUCCAGCCUCCAGACUGUGGCUUUCCUGUUUCCCCAGAGGUUUCUCAACCAGCUGCUUCCUCAGGGCACUUCUGGGACAGACCAAACACACAGUACAGAGCUUUCUCUUCUUCUGUAGGUUGAUGUGAGUGUAGUUCCCACCCAGUCCUCUGGAUUGGUCCUUCUGUUUUGAUUUUCCCUGGCUUUUCCUCCUUAUUAGGAAAGGCCCACUCUCCCAACAAUUGCUCUAAGUAAAGCCUAGUCCUCUUUCAAAUCCUUCCCAUCAUACAGGAGUUGAGGAUAAAACGACGAAGCUUGUAUUUAUUUGCAGAAAGAAAAGGGACAAUAGAACAAUCUCCUGUCCAGGAGGAAAACAGAGCUACUUCUUUACAGCUCAAAGACUUAAACAGUUGUGGGAUGCAGAGCAGAUACAGGACUAAAUUCAGAAGUCAAAUCAAAAGUCAAUCAAAAGUCAGCCCACGAACUAGAGACUCCUCCCCUAGGUCAAACCACACAAAUACACAUAGACAUAAAUACUGUCUAGAGAACAGCAUAGACAAUGUACACAAUAGAGGACUUUUCCCCCCAACGAACACAGAUACUAUGACGUUUGGUUUUCUUUUAAAGAUUUAAUCAAAUAUAGGUCCUCCAGAUAUAUGUGCUAGAAAUGUCUCUUCCACCCAGAGAAAUGCAAUGGAAAUAAUUGUUCACAUAUGGAAGUGCCAGUAGGAUACCUUGUAGUAUAGUUUCUUAUUUGGAAGAAGCCAAUGGAUCUGUUUUUUCCAUUGUGACAUUAAUCCAAAAUAUAGCAUAGUAUCUGGUAUCAAGGAGCCUUUUUAAAUAUGCAUUCGUUUUCACAUGUAGAUGGAAAAUAAAUCUUUGGAUGAAAUUUCAUCCAAGUAAGCCACAAAGAGAAGCAAUAGCCCUCUUCAGGGGGGAUACUAUGCACACAUACAAGGUCCCAAAGGUGCUUCCAAAAGUCCUGCCCUGGUGCUUACACACUGAAAAGCAUCACCCUCCUUGUGCUCUCUACGCUUACUGCAUUUUCUGAAGAGGGGUGUCCCAGCCUUCUGAUCACACAAGCAGCCACCAUCAUGCUUGCGGUGAUUGCCUCUUCAGACAAAUGUCAUAAGCAGGGGCGUUGCAAGGUUGGAGUGGGCCCAGAGACAAGAUUUUAAAAUGCCACCCUCCCACGAAGCUCAUAAUGGUACUAGAGAAAGACAUGCUGUUCUGGUAGCUCCAGGUCUUAACACUCACAUCAGUUUGGGAGGAUGAAUACAACUAAAGGAAGCCCAGGCGGCUGCGCGGCUGGGGGAGUCAGUCAUGUGACGUGCCUCGGGGGGGGGCAAGGCAGUGGGCCCCCGACAACUGUCUCCCUUUCCCUAUUAUAGUUACGCCCCGGUCAUAAGCAUGGAGAGUGUGGUGGUGUGAGGCUUCUCAGCUCAUCAGCACCAGGGUGGAGCUGGUUAGGUCUUUGGAUGCUGUACAUGAAUACAGGAUCCAUUUUUUCCAUGUUGAAGAGGGCUCUUGUAUCAACACAAUGUUUCAAAACCAUCUCUCCCUAUAACUAUUAUGUUUAUGGAGUAAAGCUGUUAAUCAUCAUGUUUUGGAUGUAUGUAGCAUUUUUUGAUUGCUCGAGGUGCUUCAUAUAAAUUUUCUCUGUAACAACAGUAGCUCUGUAAGGCAAGUCAGUAUUAUUAUUUCUGUAUUGCAGGUCAUGUUCAUUAGAAUACUGUGUAAAUACUAAAAACAAAAAUGGCAGUGGAAUGAAUGUCCUCUGUUAGGAAAUGAUACCUCCACCAUGCUGCCAUCAGUUCGUUGAAUAAUUGUUGUACUCAGCCUGCUUUUCUGUGUCUGGCAGUAUCUGUCUAGAACAGGGGUGGCCAUGUUCCCCAACUUUUGUUGGACUACAACUCCCAUCAUCCUCAGCCGCACUUGCCACCUCAGGUCUAUACUGUUCACUUCACUAUACUGUUUAUACUGUUACUUCUCUCAUUGGACAAAUUUUCUUAAAUUUCUUAUUUAACAUUGUGCAACAUUUCAAACUCUUCAUGAAUCCACUCAAGUACUAUUUGUGUGACAUUUUAAAAAUUGAAUCUUUGUCUUGUAAGUAUUCAAAGCACAAAACAGUGUCUCUUCAUACAUUACUAGCUUUGUAAAAUAUGUAUCUGCAUUCAAAUACAGAUUUUAUUUUUGUCCAUA